GACGAACGCUGGCGGCGUGCUUAACACAUGCAAGUCGAACGGUGAAGCGCCUUCCUUUUUGGUGGGUGUGGUUGCGUGGCGAACGGGUGAGUAACACGUUAGUAACCUGCACCUUUCUUCUGGAUAACCGCACGAAAGUGUGGCCAAUACGGGAGAUCCUGGGUCUGUCGCAUGAUGGGUCUGGGUAAGCUAUUGUUUCGGUGGGGGAGGGGCUCGCGGCCUAUCAGCUUGUUGGUGCGGUGAUGGCCUUCGAAGGCGGUGACGUGUCGCCGGCCUGGGAGGGUGGACGGUCACACAGGGACUGCGGCACGACCCAGACUCCUACGAGAGGCAGAAGUGGGGAGUAUUGAACAAUGGGCACAAGCCUGAUACGGCGGCGCCGCGGGUGGAAUGGCGGCCUGCGCGUUGUGAACCUCUUUCGCCAGUAAAGCAGGCCUGCCUCGUUUGUGGGUGGAUUGACGGUAGCUGGAUAAGAAGCGCCGGCUAACUACGUG
rnacentral:rRNA from 1 species